rnacentral:snoRNA from 1 species
ACCAACUCCUGGCUCCCUGUCUUUGGACACGUUAAGACUGGAAGGCCAAGACAUGUGGACUUGGAGAAGUCUGGCACCGGCUUGCUCCUCGCAGGCUCAAGCUCCCCCACGCCACAUUG